GACGGAGGAGGCAAGCGUUUAUCCGGAAUUAUUGGGCGUAAAGCGUCCGCAGGCGGCUUUUUAAGUCUGUUGUCAAAGCCCACAGCUCAACUGUGGAUCGGCAAUGGAAACUGGGAGCUAGAGUGUGGUAGGGGUAGAGGGAAUUCCCGGUGUAGCGGUGAAAUGCGUAGAUAUCGGGAAGAACACCAGUGGCGAAGGCGCUCUACUGGGCCACAACUGACGCUGAGGGACGAAAGCUAGGGGAGCGAAAGGG
rnacentral:rRNA from 1 species